CACGUAGGGGGGCAAGCGUUUGUCCGGAUUUAUUGGGCGUAAAGAGCUCGUAGGCGGUUCGGUAAGUCGGGUGUGAAACCUCCAGGCUCAACCUGGAGACGCCACCCGAUACUGCUGUGACUCGAGUCCGGUAGGGGAGCGUGGAAUUCCUGGUGUAGCGGUGAAAUGCGCAGAUAUCAGGAGGAACACCGGUGGCGAAGGCGGCUUGCUGGGCCAGUUCUGACGCUGAGGAGCGAAAGCGUGGGGAGCGAACAGG
rnacentral:rRNA from 1 species